rnacentral:snRNA from 1 species
GGAUGUAACAAUGAUCUGGCUGCAACAUCUGUCACCCCAUAGAUCGCCAGGGUUGAUUUGGCUGAUUUGGCUGGCUAGGCAGGUGUCCCUUCCUCCCUCACUGCUCCAUGGGUGUUCCAACCAAAGCUGCACACUCAGUCAAAGAGGACAACCAUCCCCGAUAGAGGAGAACUGGUCUUCAGUCAAGGAUAUAUAAGUAGCUGCACUCCCUCGCUAGAACCUCCAAACAAGCUUUCAGUUGCUUCAACCAGAAAAAAAAAAACCUCUUGCCUAUUUCUACCAUAAAGGUUGCUCUGAAAUAAUGUUUUUAAAAUGAGAAAUAAAUUAUUUAUGAAAAUCUGCAUAAAA